AUAGGGGAGCCGCAGGGAAACCGAGUCUUAACUGGGCGUUAAGUUGCAGGGUAUAGACCCGAAACCCGGUGAUCUAGCCAUGGGCAGGUUGAAGGUUGGGUAACACUAACUGGAGGACCGAACCGACUAAUGUUGAAAAAUUAGCGGAUGACUUGUGGCUGGGGGUGAAAGGCCAAUCAAACCGGGAGAUAGCUGGUUCUCCCCGAAAGCUAUUUAGGUAGCGCCUCGUGAAUUCAUCUUCGGGGGUAGAGCACUGUUUCGGCUAGGGGGUCAUCCCGACUUACCAACCCGAUGCAAACUACGAAUACCGAAGAAUGUUAUCACGGGAGACACACGGCGGGUGCUAACGUCCGUCGUGAAGAGGGAAACAACCCAGACCGCCAGCUAAGGUCCCAAAGUCAUGGUUAAGUGGGAAACGAUGUGGGAAGGCACAGACAGCCAGGAUGUUGGCUUAGAAGCAGCCAUCAUUUAAAGAAAGCGUAAUAGCUCACUGGUCGAGUCGGCCUGCGCGGAAGAUGUAACGGGGCUAAACCAUGCACCGAAGCUGCGGCAGCGACACUAUGUGUUGUUGGGUAGGGGAGCGUUCUGUAAGCCUGCGAAGGUGACCUGUGAGGGUUGCUGGAGGUAUCAGAAGUGCGAAUGCUGACAUAAGUAACGAUAAAGCGGGUGAAAAGCCCGCUCGCCGGAAGACCAAGGGUUCCUGUCCAACGUUAAUCGGGGCAGGGUGAGUCGACCCCUAAGGCGAGGCCGAAAGGCGUAGUCGAUGGGAAACAGGUUAAUAUUCCUGUACUUGGUGUUACUGCGAAGGGGGGACGGAGAAGGCUAUGUUAGCCGGGCGACGGUUGUCCCGGUUUAAGCAUGUAGGCUG
rnacentral:rRNA from 1 species